UACGGGGGGGGUAAGCGUUGUUCGGAAUUACUGGGCGUAAAGGGCUCGUAGGCGGCCAACUAAGUCAGACGUGAAAUCCCUCAGCUUAACUGGGGAACUGCGUCUGAUACUGGAUGGCUUGGAUUCGGGAGAGGAAUGCGGAAUUCCAGGUGUAGCGGUGAAAUGCGUAGAUAUCUGGAGGAACACCCGUGGCGAAGGCGGCUCUCUGGGACGGUACUGACGCUGAGACGCGAAAGCGUGGGGAGCGAACAGG
rnacentral:rRNA from 1 species